rnacentral:rRNA from 1 species
UGAAAAGCACCUUGAAAAGAGAGUUAAAAGCACGUGAAACCGUUGAAAGGGAAACGCGCUCGGCUAGCAAUGCACGCCUGUGGUUCAGCCGGCUAGUCCUGUGGGUUGUCGUGUUGCGGAUCCGAAUGGACCGUUCGCGGCAGCGUCGCUGGGCGAGCUGUGGUGCACUCCAUGGGCGUGCGCGUCAGCGUCGGUUCUCGACGAGCGAUGAGGUGCGUGGGGGAAGGUAGCUCGGUUUUUCGGAAGCGAGUGUUAAGACCCUGGUGCUGGGCUCGUCGUGGGACCGAGGAGAGAGAUGAUCGCUGCGGCACCUGCCUCUCGGGGCUAGCCAGCUGUCGUCAGAUGUUCGUCAGGCGUUGAGGACUGCACGCAGUGCUCGGCGUCUUGGCGGGGUCUGGUGGUGGUGUGGGCAUAGAGGUGCCUAGRACGCUGGCGUCCAAAUGGCCGUGCGCGACCCGUCUUGAAAACACGGAA